CGCUGUUUUCGUGUUUGUUUUGUUUUCAUUUUCUUGAUCUGCUUAACUGUGAUUUUGGGUAUUGCUUUGUUUUGUGUUCUUAUGAGUAAAUUAUGUUUAGAUUUACGGUAAAUGCUAUUUUUUCUUUUGCCAGGGUUGCCAUAUGAGUGUAUUAUCAGUCGAAUAUUCAUAUUCCAAAUUGGUCUCCCAAGAGUGGUUCAAAUGCUGAAAAAUUAAAAGCAAUUUUAAAUGAUGUUAAACUGAGAAUUGAAGAAUCCGGCGCUGCAGCGGUGAGUUCGGGUGGGUGUCUUCUUUGUUCAGCCAGAGCUGAGGUCGAGUGGGUGUGUUCUUCUCAGGCGUCUGACUGUUCUACUGUUGUCCAGUAGGUUUAUUGCCAGGUGGUUAGGGGGUUUUCCAUACUGCUUGCGUACCUUGCGUUGAGCCUUCUGAUCUCGCCUAGUACUGGUGAGAUGCCUAGUUCGGUGGGAUGCCUAGUUUCGUGGUACGGGUGUACGUCAGAGACAAUCCUCAGGCAUUUGUUCUGGAACCGCUGUAUUCUUAGGCGGUUUGAAAGUCUUGCCGUACCCCUCAGCUGUAUCCCGUUGGUCCAGAUCGGCUUUGGUAUUGUAUUGUGUAUUGUCUGAAGUUUUGUGUUUUGCUUAAGUUUUGACGUUCUUCCGAUUAACCAAAGAUUCUGUUUCAGGCCCAAAUCAGCCUGGUUGCGCUUAUCGAUGUGGUGGGGACGAGUGAGCCUGCGAUCCAGGGUCAGCCCUAUGUACUUGGGUGUGGGUACAUUUGGAAUGGUGUCUCCGGUUAGAAAGACAGGAGGUUAUUCUCCUCUGCGCAGAGCGAAAGUAGAUUGGGAGGAUUUUUCAGGGUUCACUUCUAUGUUCUAGCGUUGCAACCAAGGACCUAUUGCAUCCAGUUGACUUUGUCUUUUUGGCUUUUUCGGGGACAGAGGUGUCGUCAGCGUAUGUGGCAAUAGUUAAGUUUCUGGGAAGUUAAGUGGGAAGGUCUGAGGUAUAGAGAAUGGGUCCAAGGAUGUGGUACUCCGGCUCUAAUGAGCAUUGGCGAGCUUGUUGAGCUUCCACAUCUAGCUUGGAAUACUCUAUUCUCCGUGUAGGAUUUAAGACGGUCAUAGUGGAACUGGGAAGCCGGGACUUGAUUUUGUAAUGGAGUCCAGGGUAACACAUUUUGUCAAACACGGUUUUACGCCAGGCAUUCCGACACGGCAAUAUUUCUACUUCUCGAAUGCUUCCAGUAUUCGCUCAACGAGUCGGUGACAUUGCUCAGGCGUUCCGUGGAAGAACAAAACUGUCUAAUGAGACAGCAUUAAGAAAAAAGAAUACUUAGGAAUGCUACUGUCAAGUCCUUCAGGGAUCGUAAUCAAAAAGGAGACAUUUCUGAAAUAUAUAUUUAUGUCGGGGCGAAAAUAAUGUUUAUGCGCGUAGUCGCUAUUUACUUCUUCUCCAUGUUCCUUCUGCUGUUAUGCGUGUUCCUAUUCAUUGUCAAUGUGUGAGGAUGAGUAGAUGAAUUAUCUAUAAACGGGACUCUGCUAGAAUAAGAGCGAUAAAGCUGUUGCCGACCGUGGCCACUUGCGCUACUUGGAUUAGAGUGAGAAAGAGACAUAAUGAAAAGGUAAUGUCAAAAAUUGGGAAGACAAAAAGCAGUCUGUACGAAACGACACAUUAACCGUUGAGAAGCCAAAGUAGACGCAAGUGGACUCGUUAAACGCGAGGCCCCAUCGCCAUGGUGAUAGUUUGGCUGAAGCUGACCAGCGUAACCUUUAUUCUCGGCGUGGAGUGGACGCUGAGUUAUGUUGUUCCAACUUUAAAUCAUUUCGCAUCUAAUUCAGUCAUUUAUAUUAUUGUCUGGAUAUUCUGCGUGUCUGGUGUGCUUUACAAUUUAAACGAAGCUGUUGAAUUUUCCGGCGGGAGGUUGGGCAUGCGUCCAAAGAGGAUGGGGCGGCCACCAUUUCAAAGACGCUGUUGGCAAAUCGCGGAAUCCCAAUAAAUCUCAAGGUCAAACAAUGUCCAUGUGUGGCUUAGAUUUGGAAAAUCCAUGUUUUUCUCAUGGGCAACUAUAUGUUGCGUGUUCACGUGUUGGGAAACCAUCGAAUCUAUUUGUUUUAGCUAAAGACAGGUUAACCAAAAACAUUGUGCACCGAUUGGUGUUAAAUUAAAUUGAAAUUGAAAGUAUUUAUAUUUUAAAAAAUAGAUAUUAAUGUUUAAAAGUUUAAGACUGUCUGCCUUGCCUACCUCAUUCAUGAGUUUGAGCGUCACAUAUUAUUUGCUGUAUUAUACUGUAAUAUAUACCUAUUUGUUAUAAAAUUAAAUGGAAAUAAUCAAUCUGAUAAAUGUUUAUUGUGUAUUGAUUUCUGCUUAAUAUCGUGGCAGAGCCUCGACAGAAUUCUGCUUGACUUUGGUGUUUGAAAAUUUGCUAGAAAAAGCCUGUGAGAUUUGUUUUUGUUAUUCGAACUCUGGCGAGGAAAAAUAAGGGAAAGGAAUUUUGGUACUGAAGGGUAGUUUAAUAGUUAAAUUUUAAUGACAAUUCUUGAUUAUUUCUCCUCACUUAAACUCCUCGUGGCUAUAUCUUCAACUUCAAUUUUUCAUCUGUUUUUGUUCUAUUCUCUCUUUUUUUUUCUAAUUCCUAUCUGCCACUCGUUCGCUAGUACGAGUUGGCAGCCUAGCGCCUAGCCUUGUCAGUGUUUCAUUCCCUGCCUUUCAGUCAGUCAAAAGUCAGUCGUGUAAAAACAUCUUCGCAAUGCAUUUAGUCUUGUAUAUUAUGGUCUGCAUAUUAUGCGUGUGUGGUGUGGUGAGUAAAUGGAAAUUCCUUUACUUGGCAAAGGACUCACCUCUAACUCGCAGGUUUACAAUGUAAACGAAGCUUUCGAAUUUUCCAACGGGACGUUGGGCAUUCGUCCAAGGAGGUUGGGGCGGACCGCUGCAGAAAGACGGACCAUUGAAAUCACUGAAUCCUAUUUAUUAAUCGUAACGUGGGUACUAUUAGUGCACACUUGGGCAUCGGUGAGUACUGAGAACCUUAAAAUAUAUGCAUAUAUAUUAAAAUAUGUAUAUAAGGUAAAAUGAAAAUAAGUAGGCAGGGCCAAAAAUGAAAUCAGCAAAAAGGGUUAAAACCAGCGAAAUAAGAUGGAGUGGGGGAAAUUAAGCAGCCCGACUAUAGAACAAUAAGCGAGUAAAAGGAUACAAAGAUAACAAAGGAUGGGAAUAACAAUAAUGUGGACAAAUAAGUGCAAGUGGAACUGCUCAAGAAGUAGAGCUAUGUUUAAGGUUAAAUUGGGCGAUAUGUCCCCUUUGAAGUGCCUUAGUCCUUUUGGUGGAUGAGUGAAAGAAAAAUAGUAUACAAUUGGUCACUUUACUUAUAAAAAGAUUCAACAGCGGGAGUAGUUGGCCAUGAUUUAAUGCCCUAAUCUUGUCAGUGUUUCAUUCCCUGCCUUUCAGUCAGUCAGUCAGUGCCCUUUCGUGUGAUCGUAAAACUCCCAACAUCUUGUAUUAAUUUUUUCAAUCUCAUUGUUCCAGCACUCCGGUGGAGGACUUGGAGAACGCGGAGGAGCUGUCCGCUGCUUUUGCGGACAUAAGCAUGUUGCGCCCCAGCGGAUCCCGCGGAUUCCUCCUCCUCUGCGGCAUUUUUAGAAAUGCAGGAGGCGCUGUUUGGCCAGGUCGAGAGCAGGGAGGAAAGGGAGGAGCUGGAGGCGGGCGUGCUACAAUUCGGAUUAAACUUCGUAAACCGAAAUAAAUAAAAAACAUUUAAAGUAUGA